rnacentral:rRNA from 1 species
CCUACGGGAGGCAGCAGUGAGGAAUAUUGGUCAAUGGACGGAAGUCUGAACCAGCCAAGUCGCGUGCAGGAAGACGGCCCUAUGAGUUGUAAACUGCUUUUGUACAAGGGUAAACCUGAAUACGUGUAUUCAGCUGAAAGUACCGUACGAAUAAGGAUCGGCUAACUCCGUGCCAGCAGCCGCGGUAAUACGGAGGAUCCAGGCGUUAUCCGGAUUUAUUGGGUUUAAAGGGUGCGUAGGCGGAUUGAUAAGUUAGAGGUGAAAUGUGCGAGCUUAACUCGGGAACUGCCGCUAAUACUGGUGAUCUAGAGAGUAGAUGCGGUAGGCGGAAUGUGUGGUGUAGCGGUGAAAUGCUUAGAGAUCAUACAGAACACCGAUUGCGAAGGCAGCUUACCAAUGUAUAUCUGACGUUGAGGCACGAAAGCGUGGGGAGCGAACAGGAUUAGAUACCCCUGUAGUC